AGGACGAACGCUGGCGGCGUGCCUAACACAUGCAAGUCGAGCGAGGAGAUCCUUCGGGAUGAUCCUAGCGGCGGACGGGUGAGUAACACGUGGGCAACCUGCCUCAUAGAGAGGAAUAGCCUUCCGAAAGGGAGAUUAAUACCUCAUAACAUUGCAGUUUCGCAUGGAACAGCAAUUAAAGGAGCAAUCCGCUAUGAGAUGGGCCCGCGGCGCAUUAGCUAGUUGGUGAGGUAACGGCUCACCAAGGCGACGAUGCGUAGCCGACCUGAGAGGGUGAUCGGCCACAUUGGGACUGAGACACGGCCCAGACUCCUACGGGAGGCAGCAGUGGGGAAUCUUCCGCAAUGGACGAAAGUCUGACGGAGCAACGCCGCGUGAGUGAAGAAGGUUUUCGGAUCGUAAAGCUCUUUCGUUAGGGACGAACGUGCUCUUUGUGAAUAAUGAGGAGUAAUGACGGUACCUAAAUAAGAAGCCACGGCUAACUACGUGCCAGCCGCGGC
rnacentral:rRNA from 1 species